CAGUGUCAACCUCUCCCAGUAUUGGAAUCUUAUACUGGUCAAUCUGGAAUUACCUGGUCAGCACCAGUGAAAUUUGGGGCAAGGCAGUGCUAAGGAAAUUUCUGAAGGCUUCAGGGAGAAGGAGAAACACAGGCACUGAUGGAAGACAUUUUGCAAUGAUCUGAAUACUUCAACUGCCAGGCCAGAAAAGCCCUGAUAGCAACGGAAGCCUAGAAGAGCACAUUCCAGUCCAUUCCUUGCAGAACAUAUACCCUUACCCAUGAUCACGUGCUGCCUCUUGGACGUAUCUCCUGGUUCUUUCCCUAUAAGGCUCCAGGAUAAAUACAAGAUUCCCUCAGCAGUAGCCCCACGGAGAGGCCUUUGUGUUACGGAAGUGAGGCUUCAAGCUAAUAGCCAGCAAGAGGCUGAAGACUCUCUCCAGCAGCCGUGAGUGAGUCAUCUUGGAAAUGGAUCCUCUAGCUACAGCCUUGGCCAACAUCUUAACAGAGAGAGACCCACCCCCCAUGCUGCUCCAAAUUUCCUGACCUGUAAA